GACACCUACGGGACGCAGCAGUAAGGGAUAUUGGUCAAUGGGGGAAACCCUGAACCAGCAACGCCGCGUGAGGGAAGACGGUUUUCGGAUUGUAAACCUCUGUCCUCUGUGAAGAUGAUGACGGUAGCAGAGGAGGAGGCUCCGGCUAACUACGUGCCAGCAGCCGCGGUAAUACGUAGGGAGCGAGCGUUGUCCGGAUUUACUGGGUGUAAAGGGUGCGUAGGCGGCUGGGCAAGGCAGUAGCGAAAUCCAUGGGCUUAACCCAUGAACUGCUAUUGAAACUGUCGAGCUUGAGGGAAGUAGAG
rnacentral:rRNA from 1 species